rnacentral:tRNA from 1 species
UCCGCCAUAGCUCAGUCGGUAGAGCGCAUGACUGUUAAUCAUGAUGUCGUUGGUUCGAGCCCAACUGGCGGAG